rnacentral:rRNA from 1 species
UCCUGGCUCAGCGAACGCUGGCGGCGUGCUUAACACAUGCAAGUCAACGGGAUGCUCAGGAAGGAGAUUUCGGUCAACGGAAUGAGCUAUCUAGUGGCGGACGGGUGAGUAACGCGUGAGGAACCUGCCUUUCAGUGGGGGACAACAGCUGGAAACGGCUGCUAAUACCGCAUGACAUAUCUGUGUCGCAUGGCAUGGAUAUCAAAGAUUUAUCGCUGAGAGAUGGCCUCGCGUCUGAUUAGCUAGUUGGUGAGGUAAAGGCCCACCAAGGCGACGAUCAGUAGCCGGACUGAGAGGUUGGCCGGCCACAUUGGGACUGAGAUACGGCCCAGACUCCUACGGGAGGCAGCAGUGGGGAAUAUUGGGCAAUGGGCGCAAGCCUGACCCAGCAACGCCGCGUGAAGGAAGAAGGCUUCCGGGUUGUAAACUUCUUUGACAGGGGAAGAGACGAAGACGGUACCCUGAAAACAAGCCACGGCUAACUACGUG